UGUUAUUUUGAGGGGAUUUGGGGUUUUCUGGAAGGGAUUUUGGGGUUUUUAGGGGAGAUUUUGGGGUAUUUUGAGGGGAUUUGCGAUUUUUGGGGGGUCAUUGUGGGUUUUUUUUAGGGAAUUCUGGGAUUUUUAGGGGAUUUGGGGUUUUUUGAAGGGGUUUUGGGUUUUUUUUGGUGACUGCGUUUUUUUUUUUAAGGGUUUUUGGGGACUCUGUGGAGAUUUUAUGGGAUUUUUGAGGCAUUUUGGGGGUUCUUAUGGGUAUUUUGUUGUUUUGGGGGGGUUUGGGGGUUUUUGAUGGGAUUUGGGGUUUUUUGAUGGGAUUUGGGGUUUUUUGAGGUGAUUUUGGGUUUUUUGAGGUGAUUUGGGGUUUUUCUGAGGUGAUCUUGGGUUUUUCUGAGGGGAUUUUGGUUUUUUUGAGGUAAUUUUGGGUUUCUUUGAAGGGAUUUUGGGACUUCUGUGAGGAUUUUGUGGUUUUUUUGAGGGAUUUUGGGUUUUCUGAGGGGAUUUGGGGUUUUUAGAGGAGAUUUUGGGGUAUUUCUGAGGGGAUUUGGUUUUUUUUGUGGGGAUUUUGGAGCAUUUUGGGGGAAUUCAGGUUUUUUUGUGGGGAUUUGGGGUUUUUAGAGGAGAUUUUGGGGUAUUUUGAGGGGAUUUGGGGUUUUUAGAGGAGAUUUUGGGGUAUUCUGAGGGGAUUUGAGUUUUUUUGUGAGGAUUUGGGGUUUUUUUGUGGGUUUUUAUGAAGAUUUUGGGGCUUUUUGAGGGGAUUUGGGGUAUUUUGAGGGGUUUUUGGGGUGGAUUUUGGGGUUUCUGAGCCCAUAAAUGCGGGAUAAUUCAUGAGAUUUUGGGAUUAUUGGAGAGAUUAAUGGGAUUAAUGGCAGGACUGAUUAAAUUAAUGGGAUGUCCGAGGGGAUUAAUGAGAUUAAUGGGGCUAUUGAUGGGGUCAUUGAUCUGAUUAAUAGGAUUAAUGGCGGGAUUGAUGGGAUCAGUGGGAUUACUGGCAUUAUUGACGGCAUUAUUAAUGAGUUAAUAGGAUUAUUGAUGGACGGAUGGGAUUAUUGAUGGAUUAAUGUGGUAAUUAAUGCGAUUGAUGGAUUUAUUGGUGGGAUUAUUGAUGGAUUUAUGGGGUGAUUAAUGCGAUUAAUGACUUUAUUGACAGCGUGAUGCGAUAAUUGAUGCAUUAGUGGGACUAUUGAUGAAUUAAUGGGAUUAUUGAUGAAUUAAUGGGAUUACUGAUGAAUUAAUGGCAUUACUGAUGAAUUAAUUGGAUUAUUAAUGAAUUAAUGAGAUUAUGAAUGCAAUUGAUGGAUUUGCUGAUGUACUGAUAAUUAAUGCAAUUGAUGGGAUUAUUAACGGAUUGAUGGGAUUGUUGAUGGAUUAAUGGGAUCAUUAAUGCAUUAAUGGGCU
ensembl:lncRNA